rnacentral:rRNA from 1 species
GCCAGCAGCCAAAUCACCCUGCAACUCACAACUGGCAAUCCCCUGAAGCUCAGCAGGUGUGAGCCUGGUCAGUAUCUGGAUGGGAGACCUCCUGGGAAAGGUAAGGCUGCUGCUAAAA